UACAGGGGGUGCAAACGUUGCUCGGAAUCAUUGGGCGUAAAGCGCACGUAGGCGGUUUGUUAUGUCGGAUGUGAAAGCCCUUGGCUCAACUGAGGAAGUGCAUCCGAAACUGGCAAGCUAGAGUACUAAAGAGGAUCGCGGAAUUCCCGGUGUAGAGGUGAAAUUCGUAGAUAUCGGGAGGAACACCGGUGGCGAAGGCAGGUCUCUGGGCCACUACUGACGCUGAGAAGCGAAAGCAUGGGGAGCGAACAGG
rnacentral:rRNA from 1 species